UCAAUAAGCGGAGGAAAAGAAACUAACAAGGAUUCCCCUAGUAGCGGCGAGCGAAGCGGGAAGAGCUCAAAUUUGUAAUCUGGCACCUUCGGUGUCCGAGUUGUAAUCUCGAGAAGUGUUUUCCGCGCCAGACCGCAUACAAGUCUGUUGGAAUACAGCGUCAUAGUGGUGAGAACCCCGUAUAUGAUGCGGAUGCCUGGUGCUCUGUGAUACACUUUCGAAGAGUCGAGUUGUUUGGGAAUGCAGCUCAAAUUGGGUGGUAAAUUCCAUCUAAAGCUAAAUAUUGGCGAGAGACCGAUAGCGAACAAGUACCGUGAGGGAAAGAUGAAAAGCACUUUGGAAAGAGAGUUAACAGUACGUGAAAUUGUUGGAAGGGAAACGCUUGAAGUCAGACUUGCUAUUUGGAAUUCAGCCGCAAGGUGUAUUUUUCAAUUUGCAGGCCAGCAUCAGUUUUCGGGGGUGGAAAAGGAUUAGGAGAAGGUAGCAGUUUCGGCUGUGUUAUAGCUCUUAAUUGGAUUCAUCCCUGGGGACUGAGGAACGCAGCUUCGGCUUAGGAUGCUGGUGGAAUGGCUGGAAACGACCCGUCUUGAAACAC
rnacentral:rRNA from 1 species